GUUCCUCUCUUUGGUGGUCACUUUUUAAAUAUUUCAUUAACAAUAGAUGAAAUUUAAAGAAAUUGUCGAUAAUUGGGAAUUAAGAGUUAUGAUCCCUUGGUAAUCAUAACCGAUCCCUUAUAGCAUAUACCAUUCUUUUAAUACUCGGUCUUUUUGAAAGGUUGUCUUUCGAAUUAAAAAUUCGAUUUACAAUCCAGAGAAGGGAUCUCCGAAGGUUUAUUGAAUGAAUUGCUAAGAAACGAUCUCAUCUUUGAAAAAUUGAGAUAGGAAAUAGCCAAUCCUGAAAGUAUAUGCCAUUUUUUUAACACUCGGUCUUUUUGAAAGGUUGUCCUUUGAAUUGAAAAUUCAAUUUACAACCCAGAGAAGGGAUCUCCGAAGGUUAAUUGAAUGAAAUGCUGAGAAAGGAUCUUAAUUUGGGAAGGAACACGUUAUUAUGUUCCUCUCUUUGGUGACCACUUUUUGCUGUAAAUAUUUCGUUAACAAAAGACGAAAUUUAAAGAGAUUGUCAAUAUUUGAGAAUUAAGAGUUAAGCCAUGCCAAAGACAGAUAAAUUAUGUCAAUCAAUUAUUCAAUGAGAACGAAUGAAAAAUAAACAAAUUUUAAUAUUAAAAGUACACCUUGUUGAUAAAGUACUUAGUCAUAGUUUUAAUAAAUUUAAAUAGUAUAAAUAGAGAAGUUUGUAAAGUUUUGAGUCAGUGCGCGCUUUAAAACCGUUUUUUUGUGCAUAUUAGAAUCAGUGCAAUUGUGGAAGGAAUCCAGUAGCAAUCAUCGCUGGAUUUCAUUCAAGUGAUUGUUGUGAAGGAUAUGGGAAGGAUAUAUACAACGAUAAGUGGUUCAUCUUCAGAAGUGGCGGAGAGGAAUGUUGUCAUUAAUACAUCGAUCGAUAAUGCAGUUCGUCUUCUAUUUCCAUCUCAAGUUAGUGUUUUGACCUUCGAUCAGGGACUAUAGACUCGAUUUGAAUAGCAGGUAUAGUAAAAUGUCUAUCAACAAUGGGAAAAUACAUUUUGAAUUCAGUUU